ACCCGGCGAGAGGCGUACGCCACAUUUUAAGUAAAAAUAAAUAAAAGGAAUUAAUGUUUUAACAUAUUUGUUGAAAAAUAAUGGAUUCUGCCAAUAAGAACCAUGAUAAAAAUCAAAAUUCGUCCCAGUACGUAAGCUACAACCCGUGGAAUUUAUUUUUUAACCAGAGGAAGCGCACCGAAAGUGAGACCAGUGUUACAUCCACAGGGUCUCAAAACAAUAGCACUCAAUACGACGCUCUACGAAGGCAGCCCAGCAAAAACGAGGAAUACUUAUGGAUGAUGUGGCGUUCUUAAUUGAACACAACCGAACAGCUUUAGCAACUUGAGUGAACUUCACGCUAUGAUGGUUAUAAGUGUUACAUUUAUUGUUAGUGCAGUUAUGACAUUAGUAACACGUUCUAGUGCACUAAAUAAUAAGUAUAAUAUUGUGUGAUUUGAUAAUGUUGUUGGAACAAAUAGCAUUUGUGCCCACGUGGUUCAUAAUGGCCUGGUUGGGAGCGUGUAUACUCUUUAGCCC